CUUAGUUGUUGAUUUCUGAUGGGCUUCUCAGCCCACAGUGACACUCAGUGGUGGUUGAGCAGACAACAGCAGAGAAUUCGGGGAACAGAACCUCAAAUAAUGCUUAUCUGGUGUGUUAGAAUCUUAGGCAUCUGAUUUGAAUCAAUCAAUAAGCAAUUGUCUUUUCAAGACUCUUACUAUUAAAUAGUAUAACUCUCUGAAUGCUGGUUCAUCAUCACAAUCACUUUCAUUAGGCAUUUUACCAGAGAACAAAACUGGCCCUGUUACUGUAAGUGUGUAAAAGAUAAACAUCUUUUAUUAGAAUGUUACACUCUGUAUAACUUCAGAAAAAAAAUGUACACACAUGCAUUUGCACUCUCCUACUUUCAAUCUUGCCAUCUGCUAUGGUAGUAGUUACUCACAUGUGGCUACUGAAUACUUGAAAAGUGACUAGUGAGACUAAGAAAAUGAAUUUUUAAUUUAACUUAAUUUUAAUUAAUUUUAAUUUAGCUGUAAAGACUGCUACCAUAUUAAUUAUUAGAAAUCUUGUGAGUGCAUUUGGAAUAAUUUUGACAUGUGAACCUACUUUUUCAACUGUAAAUUUUAUAAAAUUUUAAUGCAGAUAAAGUAUCUGUGAUGACAAUUUAG
rnacentral:lncRNA from 1 species